AUUGAACGCUGGCGGCAGGCCUAACACAUGCAAGUCGAACGAGCGGCGGACGGGUGAGUAAUGUCUGGGAAACUGCCUGUUGGAGGGGGAUAACUACUGGAAACGGUAGCUAAUCCCGCAUACCAUCAGAUGUGCCCAGAUGGGAUUAGCUGGUGGGUGGGGUAACGGCUCACCUAGGCAACGAUCCCUAGCUGGUCUGAGAGGAUGACCAGCCACACUGGAACUGAGACACGGUCCAGACUCCUACGGGAGGCAGCAGUGGGGAAUAUUGCACAAUGGGCGCAAGCCUGAUGCAGCCAUGCCGCGUGGGUGAAGAAGGCCUUCGGGUUGUAAAGCACUUUCAGCGGGGAGGGGUUACCCGCAGAAGAAGCACCGGCUAACUCCGUGCCAGCAGCCGCGGUAAUAC
rnacentral:rRNA from 1 species